rnacentral:miRNA from 1 species
UUUGGCACUGGCACAUACUUGCU